UCAUAUUAUAAAUAGGGGAAUUCUUUGGCUAAGUGGUUAUCGAGUGCCACUAGGUGUUAUUAAUCAUGUGCACGCUUAUAGAACCUAGUGAGCUAACUUAACUCUUUUGAAGAAAAUGAUUUUGAAAAUGUUAACACACAUGCACACGAUGGAACACACAUAGUGGUGUUGGCACACUUUGAGGAGGUGGAGUUUGAAAGGUAGAGAGGAAUUCAACGCUUUUUGAGAAAACAAAGUGCAUAUUUUCUAUUACGAUGGUGGAAACUUUGGCGAAGUCGUAGGAGUGUUUUUCACUAGAAAAGCACUCACUGGACGCUGACUCUAGUAGCAUCCGAUGCAUGCUGGCUGAGUGCGCGCAAGGAGCAUGCAUCGGAGUGUCUGACACUGUUGAAGCAUCCGGUACUCGCACUGUAGUAGUGGAGUUCCAACGUUGUGUGCGUCGGACGCUGGCAUGCGUCUGAUGCCGCACCGUCGAACACGUCCGACAUAUGUCAGAGAGAUUCUAGAACUCUCUGAGUAGCACCUGACUGUUCAACGCAUGUUAACUCAGCGCUUCAACGUUCAAGUGACCGGUGGAGAACAAUGUGUCAUGUUUAACUAAGGACACAUGGCAACAUCUAGAGUGGAUAUCAGGGGACCGUCGGACGAUAGGGCUACGUCCAA
rnacentral:lncRNA from 1 species